rnacentral:rRNA from 1 species
GACGAACGCUGGCGGCGUGCUUAACACAUGCAAGUCGAACGGAAAGGCCCUGCUUUUGUGGGGUGCUCGAGUGGCGAACGGGUGAGUAACACGUGAGUAACCUGCCCUUGACUUUGGGAUAACUUCAGGAAACUGGGGCUAAUACCGGAUAGGAGCUCCUGCUGCAUGGUGGGGGUUGGAAAGUUUCGGCGGUUGGGGAUGGACUCGCGGCUUAUCAGCUUGUUGGUGGGGUAGUGGCUUACCAAGGCUUUGACGGGUAGCCGGCCUGAGAGGGUGACCGGCCACAUUGGGACUGAGAUACGGCCCAGACUCCUACGGGAGGCAGCAGUGGGGAAUAUUGCACAAUGGGCGGAAGCCUGAUGCAGCAACGCCGCGUGCGGGAUGACGGCCUUCGGGUUGUAAACCGCUUUCGCCUGUGACGAGGCGUGAGUGACGGUAAUGGGUAAAGAAGCACCAGCUAACUACGUG